UACAGAGGGGGCAAGCGUUAUUCGGAAUUAUUGGGCGUAAAGGGUGCGUAGGCGGCGCGGUAAGUCGGGUGUGAAAUCUCGGGGCUUAACUCCGAAACUGCAUUCGAUACUGCCGUGCUUGAGGACUGGAGAGGAGACUGGAAUUUACGGUGUAGCGGUGAAAUGCGUAGAUAUCGUAAGGAAGACCAGUGGCGAAGGCGG
rnacentral:rRNA from 1 species